AUGAUUGAUAGGUCUUGGUGCAAACGUUUCAACUGGAGAAUUUCUUAUGUCCCUCAAGUGAUUGUGGUAAAGUAUGAAGAGACGGUAUUGUACUUACAAAUGCACCAACAACAUAUGCCGGCCAGGGCCGAAUGCAUACCUGGUGGCAGGAGCUGCCGCGCAAACGCCUCUCCGUCAUCAAGGCCACACUCCAACUGUGAGCUGCAAGAGAUACACCUUCAGAAUAGGCGAUUUACAUGGAGUAACAAGAGGACGAACCCGGCGCUCUGCAAAUUGGACUCCUUCUUUUGCAACGCCGAAUGGGAUAUCCAGUUUAACACCCACAUCCUACAUGCUCUCUCAUCGUCUCUAUCGGAUUAUUGCCCCCUCAUGCUCGCUGAUGUGAGGGGACCAAGAAGACCACAUGCUUUCAAGUUCGAAAACUUCUGGCCCAAAAUGACGGGCUUCUCGGAGAUCGUUCGUAAAGCUUGGAACGAACAAACAAAUCAUGCUGAGCCAUACCAACUGCUACACCACAAGCUCAAGACGACCGGCCACCGUCUCGCAGAGUGGAGUGGGGGCCUUUUUUCAAAGGCAAAGCUUCAUUUACAUGCGGCCCUACUAGUCAUCCUACACCUCGACUUGGCCCAAGAGGAACGGAUCCUCUCCUUAGAGGAAAAAGAUCUCCGAACAAAGCUAAAGAGAAGGGUCAUUUGCCUUUCGGUGUUGGAAAGGACACGGAAGAAGCAAUGUGCAAGAAUGGCAAGCUUGAAGGAAGGGGAUGCAAACACAAAAUUCUUCCAUCGUCGGAUAAAUGCUAGGAGGCGAAAGAACCACAUCUUUAGAAUUCAACAUAACCAUGGUUGGGUCACCGACCACGACGCUAAGGAGGUUCUAAUUCAUGACCACUUCUCUGAAAUGAUGGGGAAAGGAGCCCACAGAACAAAGGACCUAAACUGGGAGGAAACCUCCACGGCGCCAACCUGCACUGGCUCAACUCAGCCAAUGUCGUUCUCCUCCCCAAAAAAGGUGCUGAAGGGAUCUCAGAUUACCGGCCAAUUAGCCUCAUUCAUGGGAUUGCGAAGAUCAUUGCCAAAAUCCUCGCCAACCGCCUGCGACCACAUAUGA
rnacentral:rRNA from 1 species